GACGAACGCUGGCGGCGUGCCUAAUACAUGCAAGUCGAACGAGAGCGACCGGUGCUUGCACUGGUCAAUCUAGUGGCGAACGGGUGAGUAACACGUGGGUAACCUGCCCAUCAGAGGGGGAUAACAUCCGGAAACGGAUGCUAAAACCGCAUAGGUCUUCGAACCGCAUGGUUUGAAGAGGAAAAGAGGCGCAAGCUUCUGCUGAUGGAUGGACCCGCGGUGCAUUAGCUAGUUGGUGAGGUACCGGCUCACCAAGGCCGUGAUGCAUAGCCGACCUGAGAGGGUGAUCGGCCACAUUGGGACUGAGACACGGCCCAAACUCCUACGGGAGGCAGCAGUAGGGAAUCUUCCGCAAUGGACGCAAGUCUGACGGAGCAACGCCGCGUGAGUGAAGAAGGUUUUCGGAUCGUAAAACUCUGUUGUUAGAGAAGAACAAGUGCUAGAGUAACUGUUAGCGCCUUGACGGUAUCUAACCAGAAAGCCACGGCUAACUACGUG
rnacentral:rRNA from 1 species